GACGGAGGGUGCUAGCGUUGUUCGGAAUGACUGGGCGUAAAGGGCGCGUAGGCGGCCGGUUGCGUCGGAUGUGAAAGCCCGGGGCUCAACCCCGGGUCGGCCGUCGAUACUCUCGUGCUUGAGCACUGUAGAGGCAGGUGGAAUUCCGGGUGUAGCGGUGGAAUGCGUAGAGAUCCGGAAGAACACCGGUGGCGAAGGCGGCCUGCUGGGCAGUAGCUGACGCUGAGGCGCGACAGCGUGGGGAGCAAACAGG
rnacentral:rRNA from 1 species